AGGAAAUUCUCUAGCCAAUUAAUACAAAUAAUGUUUUACUGCGGUAAUAAAUAUAAAAUAAGUAAAAAUAAACAGUAACGUGAUGUAGGAGCUUAUCAUAGGAACACCCUGGAUAUAGAUACAACAGUUAUAGAUAGAACAACGUCGUCAAUAUUGGUUAUUGGUAUAAUUGAGAAACUAUCUACGAUAAACAUAAAUUUUCUUUCUUGCGUAGGAAUUUAUUAACGACGAAAUUAGCUGCAAAAGAAUUCCUAAUACAAGAGGUUACCCCAGUUAUAGAUAGAACAACGUCAACAAUAUUGGUUAUUGGAAUUUAUUAACGAGGAAAUUAGCUGCAAAAGAAUUCCUAAUACAAGAGGUUACCCCAGUUAUAGAUAGAACAACGUCAACAAUAUUGGUUAUUGGUAUAAUUCAGAAACUAUCUAUUGAAGAAUUUAUUAACGACGAAAUUAGCUGCAAAAGAAUUCCUAAUACAAGAGGUUACCCCAGUUAUAGAUAGAACAACGUCAACAAUAUUGGUUAUUGGUAUAAUUCAGAAACUAUCUAUUGAAGUAUUCACUGUUAUCGGUAUUUGAUAAUUACAAUUAACAUAAAUAUACGAUAAACAUAAAUUUUCUUUCUUGCGUAGGAAUUUAUUAACGAGGAAAUUAGCUGCGAAAGAAUUCCUAAUAUAAGAGGUUAAUAGACAAUAGGUGAUAAAUUAAUAGAUAACCGUACUCUGAUGCAAAAUAGGUUGAAAGUUACUGAAUAUUUGGAAUAUUUAUUAACGACGAAAUUUUAGCUGCAAAAGAAUUCCUAAUACAAGAGGUUAAUAGUCAAUAGGUGAUAAAUUAAUAGAUAACCGAUACUCCGAUGCAAAAUAGGUUGAAAGUUAUUGAAUAUUUGGAAUAGAAGUUACAAGCGUACAAUUGGCUCAUAUACAUAACAAAGAAAUUCAGUGGAAAAUAUUCUUGGCACAUUGUUGCAACUUUGUAAAGAACCUCGAAGAGUAUUCACGCCGGUUUAAAAUGGAACUUACACAUACACAAGUGUGUGACCGCCAUUAUUACGUAUACUGAUGUCAUACAAUUGCUGGAAUGAUCGAUUAAGAAAGCACUGAAUGAUGCACUCAGACGGUUUCAAACGUUAUAAACGUUCUUUCUUGCUUGUUUAAAUGCACCUUCAAGCCUAUUUCAAUAAUAAGAAUUUUCGGAAGCGGGCGAGGUCAGUAGGGUGGUAGCGUGUCGGCUAUCGCAACCCUUGUUUUAUUUUAAUCCGGUCGACCGUAAUAAGAAAUGUCACGAGUUCAAGUGAAACACGUAUGUAUCAUAUUAAAUCCUCGAAAUAAAUUAAUUUGAUAAUUGCA